rnacentral:rRNA from 1 species
CAGCCGCCGCGGUAAAACAGAGGGUGCGAGCGUUAAUCGGAUUUACUGGGCGUAAAGCGUGCGUAGGCGGCUAAUUGAGUCGGAUGUGAAAUCCCCGAGCUUAACUUGGGAAUUGCAUUCGAUACUGGUUAGCUAGAGUGUGGGAGAGGAUGGUAGAAUUCCAGGUGUAGCGGUGAAAUGCGUAGAGAUCUGGAGGAAUACCGAUGGCGAAGGCAGCCAUCUGGCCUAACACUGACGCUGAGGUACGAAAGCAUGGGGAGCAAACAGGAUUAGAUACCCGAGUAGUCCCUGUCUCUUAUAC